rnacentral:rRNA from 1 species
CCUACGGGAGGCAGCAGUGGGGAAUCUUGCGCAAUGGGCGAAAGCCUGACGCAGCCAUGCCGCGUGAAUGAUGAAGGUCUUAGGAUUGUAAAAUUCUUUCACCGGGGACGAUAAUGACGGUACCCGGAGAAGAAGCCCCGGCUAACUUCGUGCCAGCAGCCGCGGUAAUACGAAGGGGGCUAGCGUUGCUCGGAAUUACUGGGCGUAAAGGGAGCGUAGGCGGAUAGUUUAGUCAGAGGUGAAAGCCCAGGGCUCAACCUUGGAAUUGCCUUUGAUACUGGCUAUCUUGAGUGUGGGAGAGGUAUGUGGAACUCCGAGUGUAGAGGUGAAAUUCGUAGAUAUUCGGAAGAACACCAGUGGCGAAGGCGACAUACUGGCCCAUUACUGACGCUGAGGCUCGAAAGCGUGGGGAGCAAACAGGAUUAGAUACCCUGGUAGUCCGACGCUGUAACGAUAGAGUGCUAGUUGUCGGCGAGGCGAUGCUCGUCGGUGGACGCGAGCUAACGACAUUAAGUACACUCCGCCGUCGGGGUAGGGUACGGGUUCCGGCCGAACGAAGUUAAAACCGUUAACCGUAAACGGUUAAAGUUAGUACGGGUUACGUUGGAGGACGUUCGCCGACGGGACGACCGACGAGGGGAGGUUAGG